CCUACGGGAGGCAGCAGUGGGGAAUAUUGGGCAAUGGGCGCAAGCCUGACCCAGCAACGCCGCGUGAGUGAAGAAGUAUUUCGGUAUGUAAAGCUCUAUCAGCAGGGAAGAAAAAAGACGGUACCUGACCAAGAAGCCCCGGCUAACUACGUGCCAGCAGCCGCGGUAAUACGUAGGGGGCAAGCGUUAUCCGGAUUUACUGGGUGUAAAGGGGGCGCAGACGGCAGCGCAAGCCAGGAGUGAAAGCCCGGGGCCCAACCCCGGGACUGCUCUUGGAACUGCGCGGCUGGAGUGCAGGAGGGGCAGGCGGAAUUCCUGGUGUAGCGGUGAAAUGCGUAGAUAUCAGGAGGAACACCGGUGGCGAAGGCGGCCUGCUGGACUGCGACUGACGUUGAGGCCCGAAAGCGUGGGGAGCAAACAGGAUUAGAUACCCGUGUAGUC
rnacentral:rRNA from 1 species